GUUGGCAGGUCACGAUGAAUCGAGCAGCUCUCCAGCUGAUACUCUUGGGUGUUUUUCUCAUCUCUGUCUCUUCAGGUGUUCAGAAGUCCAGGAAUUUCCUUCUUGGAGGUGAAAGGAGAUUUGAGCAUCGGUGAUCUGGCCAAUGUCAUCAAAACCACCAUGGCAGACAAAGAUGCAUGGGUGACAUUCUUCCCCACACGAGAUCAACAGACCAAGUGUAAAAGCUGUGGAGAAAAUGGGCUGAACGGUGACCUGCUCAUAACAUAUGACGUUGAGAGACAAAAUCCCAAAGGAGAAAUCUUGGUAGGGUUUUUUUUUUUUUUUUUUUUUUUGUGCAAUGCAAAAAGCCCAGAAUGUAAUUAUUUUCCUGUUCUCUCAGGUGUCAAAAGGCUAUUUUGUCCACUACUUUGCUCCAUCUGUUGUUCCACGUAUUUCCAAAAAUGUGGUGUUUAUCAUUGACCGUAGUGGUUCUAUGAGCGGCUAAAAAAUAAAACAGGUAAAAAAUGUAAUUGGAUACUUGUGGAAGGUAGAGGACUUAUAUAUUAUAUAUUAUAUUUUUGAUUGUUAAUCACGCAGAGAUUCCUCUACUGAAAUCAGUUUGGUGUU